rnacentral:misc_RNA from 1 species
AGAUGGAUCAUUAACACAAUUAAAACAAACCUUAACUUAUGUACUUUUGAAGUUUACUUCGGUAAGCUUCAAGGUCUUAUGUCACACCUAGUGUGAAAAAAAAUCAUUCAUAUGUCUAAGAUCUGGAUAACAUCCAAAAAACGAAAAGAAAAUUUUCAACGGUGGAUAUCUAGGUUCCCGUGACGAUGAAGAACGCAGCGAAAUGCGAUACGCAAUGCGAAUUGCAGAACCGCGAGUCAUCAGAUCUUUGAACGCAAGUGGUGGAGGUGUAAAAACCUUCAUGUUUGUUUCAGUGUGGAAAGGAAUCACGCAUCUUAAUGCGAUUGAAGCAUUGCUUCUCUCGUUAAACGUGAUGGGUGGUCGAGCAAUCGCCGCCAGAAUGAAGUAGUCACAUUCGUGUAAUGUGAACAUUCGUUCAGGCAAUACGACGAGUGCUCAAUUAUACUACUCAAUAGAAAAAUUACUCUUCUCACUACACCUGAAAUAAGCAAGAUUACCCGCUGAACUUAAGCAUAUCAGUAAGCGGAGGAAAAGAAACUAACUAGGAUAGCCCCAGUAAUGGCGAAUGAACAGGCUAAAGCUCAAAGUGAAAAUCUGAAGUGGUCAACACAACAGAAUUGUAAUCUAUAGAGUUAACCUAAAGCUAAGCUCCUCGCAUAAGUUCCUUGGAACAGGACGUCAAAGAGGGUGACAACCCCGUAGUCGGUGAGGAAGGCUGGUGAAAGGGAGACUUCAAAGAGUCGGGUUGUUUGGGAUUGCAGCCCUAAGUGGGAGAUAAACUUCUUCUAAAGCUAAAUAUACACGGGAGACCGAUAGCGAACAAGUACUGCGAAGGAAAGAUGAAAAGAACUUUGAAAAGAGGGUUAAAAGACUUGAAACCGUUGAGAAGGAAGCUGUAGAAGAGCAAUAAACUGGACGUCGCAUAAGGGGGAAGUGUUACUCACUGCAAAAUCGAUACGCAAGGUCGAUAAGUAAGGAAAGGACACAGAACCUGCUACGACGGCCAGAAGACAAAAUGAGUUCUAGUUUAAGGAGUCACCUGAGAUAGGGUAGCAAUACAUAUCAAAAGGGAAACUUAAACUGGGACUGAGGGGCCUACGGGCGAUUUUGUCAAAAUGGCUUCUACUGACCCGUCUUGAAACACGGACCAAGGAGUCAAUCAAUUAAGCGAGUGAUAGGGUGGAGAAACCCGUCCGCGAAACGAAAGUGAGUACAAGGUGCCAAGCCGCAAGGUAGCAGCAUCACCCGACCUUGAUUCUCUGAAGAAAGGUUCGAGGAAGAGCUUAAUUGUUUGGACCCGAAAGAUGGUGAACUACGCUUGAAUAGGGUGAAGCCAGGGGAAACUCUGGUGGAAGCUCGUAGCGAUACUGACGUGCAAAUCGUUCGUCAAAUUUGAGUGUAGGGGCGAAAGACUAAUCGAACCAUCUAGUAGCUGGUUCCCUC